rnacentral:misc_RNA from 1 species
GAUGUUUUACAUCAACUUUUAGUAGCUGACCAUGAAACUCAACCAAGCCUUAGUCCUAAUUUAAUUUCAGGUUGUAGACUCUCAAAGCUUAAUGCCCAUGUAAUGCAAGAAUAAUAGGAUAAUUAUCGUAUCAUGACAUCAAAAAUUUCCUUCAUUUUGAAGGACCAAUCUUUUGAUCAGACAACAAGACUAAGUGAUGUAGAACCAAGAACGUUCAAAAGAGCAAAAUAAAAAAAAAAAAAAUUAUCAAAUUUUAUUAAUUACGUCAAUAAUAAUCAUAAUAAACUCUACCAAAAUGCCUAGAUUACAUAGAUAUUUAUAGUCUAAUAACUAGACUUACCACUACAAGGAUUAUGAAUCCCAAAAUAAGAAAAUAUUGAACCACUAUUGAAAUGCCAAACCAACAGCAAGAAAUUUUAGAAAAAAAAAAAUCCUAAAUAAUUAAAAUACUAAUUCCUAAAUAAAUUUCGUAAAUAGUAGAAACUUGAACUUCCUGAUUGUACUAAAACUAAAAAUCUGAAUUAAAUAUCUUAAUUUUACAAUGAAAUUUUAAAUCAAAAUAAUUCCUAAAU